rnacentral:misc_RNA from 1 species
ACGGAGCCUUCCUCCAACAGCUGGAGAGUGAACUAGAUAAUGAACAAGAACCCUUUGUUGUAAUGGGUGGCAAGAGGUGAUGCUGACUGUUAAGUCUAUUGGUUGUCAGUUGAUGGACUGUAAAGGAUACAUUGGAUAUAGCAUGAUUACAUUGAAUGAGAUGGCGUGGGUUAUGCUAGAAUCAACUUCCUUCUGUGUAUUGGACAAAGUGAGCAUUCAGUUUAUCCCACAAUCAUAGCUUAGAGUUGGGAUGUACCAUAUUUUAACAUGUGUAUUUCCUUGUUGAUUAUGAUAGAUUUGUGAGAGAUAUUUUAAGUGAAUCUUUUGUACAGUGAUUGACGUAACAUAUCUUGUCGGGAGAUGUGAUGACUGUGUAAAUGACUCCUGGGAAUACUAGAGCUUGUCAUAAACUUGUGUAAUAUAUUAAAACUGUGAAUAUAGU